rnacentral:misc_RNA from 1 species
AAGGAUCAUUAAAAUAAGUGCUCUUCAACUUUUAGUUAAGAGACUACACCACUGUCCCAUCUCUUUCUUGUGCUAAAAUUAGAACGUAGAUGUGGUUAUUGUGUCCACCCAAUUGUGAAACUUCAAUUUUGCUUCGGCAGCACUCUUGGCGGGCAACCGCUAGAGGGGUAAGGCUGUCAGAGGCCCAUAUCAAAACCAGUUGAUGAAAUGUCAUGCUGUCUGAUAUCAUACUUUUUGAGAAAUCAAAUUAUAUUAAAACUUUCAGCAACGGAUCUCUUGGUUCUC